CUCUGUUUAGUGCCAUUAUUGUUGUUGAACAAUUACUUUCUUUUUAGGAUUCUUGCUGGAGGAGAUGAACUUUUAUGGUGUGUUUUUUCCCCUGUAUGCGUCGCUUCAGAUCAGGCUGAUGCUGUUGUUAUUAUGGAUGAGCUGUUGAAGGCCAAGGUUUUCCUUGUGAGAAUGCCAUAGGUACAAGAAAAGAUUGCCUGAAAGGUCUUUAUGGUUUAUUCUGCAAGGUUAGAGGCCUGCUGAGGCUAGCGUGAGGUCUGCUAUGGCAUCGAUGAUCUGGGUGUCAUGACUGUGAGGACUGCUCGCGCCUCUCCGCUCACAAACCGUGUGACAGAGUAAAUACUCUGGUCCACAACAAUUAGACCUUCCUCCCUCUCAGCUAUGGUAUUGCAGCACAACAAUCUCCUUCCACCUUCAUUUGUUGGGCUAGAGCGUUAGAAGACAUUCUAAUUUUCUAGCUAUAUUUUGCAAUGUUAGACUGGUCAAAUGUGUUUGUAUAUGGUCGCAGUGGCGUGAGCUUUUUCAUUACUUGAUCUGUUUAUUCAAACUCAAUUUUUCUGUUGUUGUGGAGAGGAGGAUCAUCUGCUCUUUCAUACAUAUUUAUUACCUUCACUAU